rnacentral:rRNA from 1 species
CAGUAACACGUAGUCAACCUACCCUAUGGACGAGAAUAAUCUCGGGAAACUGAGCAUAAUUCUCGAUAGAUCAUAAUGCCUGGAAUGGUUUAUGGUUAAAAUGAUUCGUCGCCAUAGGAUGGGACUGCGGCCUAUCAGCUUGUUGGUGAGGUAAUGGCCCACCAAGGCGAUUACAGGUACGGGCUCUGAGAGGAGAAGCCCGGAGAUGGGUACUGAGACACGGACCCAGGCCCUAUGGGGCGCAGCAGGCGAGAAAACUUUGCAAUGUGCGAAAGCACGACAAGGUUAAUCCGAGUGAUUUCUGCUAAAGAAAUCUUUUGCCAGUCACAAAACCACUGGUGAAUAAGGGGUGGGCAAGUUCUGGUGUCNCCGCCGCGGUAAACCAGCCCUCAAGUGGUCAGGAUGAUUAUUGGGCCUAAAGCAUCCGUAGCCGGCUUUGUAAGUUUUCGGUUAAAUCCAUGUGCUCAACGCAUGGGCUGCCGAAAAUACUGGCUGGGAGU